rnacentral:rRNA from 1 species
UACGUAGGGCGCAAGCGUUGUCCGGAAUUAUUGGGCGUAAAGAGCUCGUAGGCGGUUUGUCGCGUCUGCUGUGAAAUCCCGAGGCUCAACCUCGGGCUUGCAGUGGGUACGGGCAGACUAGAGUGCGGUAGGGGAGACUGGAAUUCCUGGUGUAGCGGUGGAAUGCGCAGAUAUCAGGAGGAACACCGAUGGCGAAGGCAGGUCUCUGGGCCGCAACUGACGCUGGAGGAAGCGAAAGCAUGGGGAGCAAACAGG